AGAACGAACGUUAGCGGUGUGGCUUAGGCAUGCAAGUCGAGCGUGAAAGUCUUCGGACGAGUAAAGCGGCGAAAGGGUGAGUAACACGUAACCAAUCUACCCAUGAGACUGGAAUAACCACUGGAAACGGUGGGUAAUGCCAGAUGGUCCACUCGGAGGCAUUUCCGGGCUGGUAAACGGUGGCGCAAGCUGCUGCUCUAGGAGGAGGUUGCGGGCUAUCAGCUAGUCGGUGGGUAAUGGCUCACCAAGGCGAUGACGGCUACCGGGUCUGAGAGGACGGUCCGGCACGACUGGGGACCUGGAGACACUCGACCCAGACCUCCGUACGGGAGCCUGCAGUCGAGAACUCUCCGACAGUGGGACAAGCCUGGACGGAGCGAC
rnacentral:rRNA from 1 species